GAUUGACUCAUUCCUUGUUAUCAGGUUUGAAGUCAUGGACGGUGUUUGCUAGGUGUCUAAUAAUGGGCGUGGCGGGUUCGAAACUGGAGAAAGCGCUGGGCGAGCAGUUCCCGGAGGGAGAACGAUACUUUGGCUUCGAAAACUUCGGCAACACUUGUUACUGUAACAGUGUCUUGCAGGCACUUUACUUUUGUGCUCCCUUCCGUGAAUAGUUGCUUGAAUACUACACAAAUAAUAAAAGUGAGGAGAAUCUCUUGACUUGCUUGGCUGAUUUGUUUUCUCAGAUAAGUUCUCAGAAGAAUAAGACAUGAGUUAUUGCUCCCAAGCGCUUUGUACAGAGGUUGAAGAAACAAAAUGUACUUUUUCGGAGUUAUAUGCAUCAGGAUGCACAUGAGUUCCUUAAUUAUUUGCUAAAUGAACUUGAUGACAUCUUAGAGAAAGAGGCAAAAAUGGACAAUGAAAUUUCAUCAUCUCCUGGAAAGAUUUCAAAUGGACCAAAACUUCUUCGGGCAAAUGGUGUUCAUAAAGAGCCUACUGUUACAUGGGUGCACAAGAUUUUUCAGGUAACGAGCGGUUCCUUUUGGCUUCAUUACUAUACCAGAGUAAAGCUUAACCGAGUCCCCAAACCAAACCAGAUCAUAAAGUGAUCUCAAGGUGUUUUAGCAUGUGCAAACUAUAUUUGUAUACUUCUAGCACAAAGUCUUAAUUUUCUCUCUUCUCAC